CUCAACUUCUAACAUAACUCAGAGAGCAGAGAGCGACCCGUACGCUAAACAAACUUUACGCGGGCUUCGAUUACUCGGAGUAUGGAGGAGGAGGUCCCAGUGAAGCGGUCCGUGGCAGAACUGGCGGGGAAGUUUAAAAAUGUCGUCCCUGACAAUGAGCCAGCAAAAGCAGAAGGCGCCACCACCCAGCUCGCUGCAGGACGACCCAAGCGGAACUCUGCCCUCAUAGAGAAGUUACAGGCUAACUUAGCCCUCUCUCCCUCUGCCCUUCUGACAUCGCCCUUGAGCCCCGGCUUCAAGUUCUCCCCCAAGCUUUCACUCCCCCUCCCCUGCCGCCCCGUUUCCUGUCACACCCCGUUUUCGGGUAACGCCGGUGACACCCACCAGCCCGCUGGCUGUCCUCACACCUCAGAGCGAGGAGGAAGCCCCCGCUUCCUUCGAAACCCCCCCCAGCGCCCAGGAAGGAGCCGUGCUCGUCAGCAUCAUUAAGACCAGGGCCCGCCUCUCCAUCAAGAGACGGCCUCCCUCCCGGCGCAACAGGACGGCCAGCAGCGGGGAGGAAGGGGGCGUGUCCCCCAGCACGGAGGACACGCCCCCUCUGGCCCCCUCCAGCCAGCCAGGGGAGGAGGAGCCAAAGGGUGAAGGAGAUGACGAAGGGGCGGCGCCGAGGAGCCAGGAGGGGCUCGAUGGGGAGGAGGCCCCCAGCGAGGGGCUCCCCGGACCCCCGUCGGCGAUGGAUCAGGAGGGACAUGCAGUCACACAGACGGGAACUCCUCCAGAGCCUCUGAACAGCACUGAGACCAAGGA
ensembl:lncRNA